rnacentral:rRNA from 1 species
UGAAUACGAGAUGCUACGGCGUCGAAGCAGUCUAUGUCAUACUUCCAAGAAAAGCUUGCACUGUCAUAAACAAAUAAUGCCUGUACCAUAACCGACACAGGUGGGUAGGUAGAGUAUACUAAGGGGCGCGAGAUAACUCUCUCUAAGGAACUCGGCAAAAUGACUCCGUAACUUCGGGAGAAGGAGUGCCUUAUUUAUAAGGUUGCAAUAACAAGAUCCAAGCAACUGUUUACCAAAAACACAGGUCUCCGCUAAGUCGUAAGACGAUGUAUGGGGGCUGACGCCUGCCCAGUGCCAGAAGGUUAAAGAAGUUGGUUAGCAUCCGCGAAGCUGAUAACUGAAGCCCUGGUGAACGGCGGCCGUAACAAUAACGGUCCUAAGGUAGCGAAAUUUCUUGUCGGGUAGGUUCCGACCCGCACGAAAGGCGUAAUGAUUUGGAUACUGUCUCGGAGAGGGGCUCGGUGAAAUAGACUUGUCUGUGAAGAUGCGGACUACCUGCACCAGGACAGAAAGACCCUAUGAAGCUUUACUGUAACCUGAAAUUGAAAUUGGACUUUACUUGCGCAGUAUAGGUGGGAGGCGUUGAGAAUAUUCUUGCGGGAUUAUUGGAGCCAUCAGUGAGAUACCACUCUUGUAAUGUUAGAUUUCUAACUUUGUAUCAUUAUCUGGUCAAAGAACAGUUUCAGGCGGGCAGUUUGACUGGGGCGGUCGCCUCCUAAACGGUAACGGAGGCGCACAAAGGUUUCCUCUGAACGGGUAGAAAUCGUAUCUAGAGUGUAAAGGCAUAAGGAAGCUUGACUGUGAGACCUACAAGUCGAGCAGGGGCGAAAGUCGGUCUUAGUGAUCUGACGGUGCUGAGUGGAAAGGCCGUCACUCAACGGAUAAAAGUUACUCUAGGAUAACAGGCUGAUCUCCCCCAAGAGUUCACAUCGACGGGGAGGUUUGGCACCUCGAUGUCGGCUCAUCGCAUCCUGGGGCGGUAGUACGUCCCAAGGGUUGGGCUGUUCGCCCAUGAAAGCGGUACGCGAGCUGGGUUCAGAACGUCGUGAGACAGUUCGGUCCAUAUCCGGUGUAGGCGUUAGAAUAUUGAGAGGAGCCUUCUUUAGUACGAGAGGACCGAGAAGGACAUACCUCUGGUGUACCAGUUAUCGUGCCAACGGUAAACGCUGGGUAGCUAUGUGUGGAGUGGAUAACCGCUGAAAGCAUCUAAGUGGGAAGCCCACCUCAAGAUAAGUAUUCUCA